GCACCAUUAUCCGGGGCUCGUGGACACAGCAAAGCUCGUGGACGCAGUAAAGUCCGAGAAUUGGCACCUGGGUGCUUCUGAUUCUCGAGUCUGCAUCUCCUGGAAUUCCGAUGCAGAGCUCUCUAGGUCCCCGGCACUUCAGGUGCUAAGCAUAAGCUCCUAGGCGUCGCACCUACCACCUCAAAUAUUUCUCAGAUAUUAAGAUCCUACCAUGUGGUCCUCUGAGCUUCGUCUCUGGUGUCGGCUUCUUCCAUUUACUCCAACCAGGAGCACAUUCGCUCAUUCAGCCAGACAUGGCAGCAUUUCAGGACUUGGGGGGGGGGGGUGAGACAGGGUCUUGUUAUGUAGUCCAAUCUCUCUUGAACUCACUAUGUAGUCCAGAAUGGCCUGAACUUGCGAUUCCCCUCCCUCAGCCUCCCGAGUUUCGAGAUUACAGUUGUGUGGCACCACGCCUGACUGCAGUGUGAUCUUUUAAAAUCCAGACCUGCCUUGCUGGUCAACCAGGACCGCGUGUUCCUUCACGAGCCCGGAGCCCGACAGCCUCUCCUGCAUCCUCACGCCGGGCUCUGGCCACGCCCCCCUGCCAGGGGCUCACCCGCGCCCCUCCUCGGCAGCUGCGCCUCGCCGGGCCUCUCCGGGCCUCGCCGGGCCCCGGGAGGGGAAGGGGCUCCACCUGCGCGCCACCUGCUGGGCCGCCCGACCUCCCGCAGACCCGGCCAGACCUCGGCGAAGCUCACGCCUCCGGGCUGCACAUCCGCGCCGGCCGCAAGCUCCAGGACGCGGCGGCGAGCCUGAGCCGCUGCGCAUGCGCGCAGGUGCGCGUGCACGCAACAGCCCGCACGCACCGGCACGCACGCGCCCGGCCAGUGAGACUAGGAAGGACAGGUUUGGGUUUGGGGUUUUUUGUUUGUUUGUUUGUUUGUUUGGGGGGGCCUUCGCGCUGAGCUGCAUCCUCGGCCCUUUUUAUUUGCCGACAGAAUCUGGAUGAGUCAGUAAGUUGUCCUGGCGGGGCUUCUCCUUCCUCAGGCUCCCUCGUGCUGAACUCUGGGCGCGCGCCCAGCUGAGGACGUGGCCCGAGGGAGGGAGGUCAGCGGGAGCUUCACAACGUUUGGCCCUGGUUGUGCGCCCUGCAGGGUGUGCCGUGAAGCUGUUGGUGGUUCUGAGGGCAAUCAUAAGCCUGGGGAAGCGUGUACUGUACUGUGUAAUAAUGAAGACAGCAGUUAUCCGCACUUUGAAAGCAAGUUUUGCAAAAUAGUUACGCACUUCCUUUGAGUGAUGAGUUCUAAUAAGCCACAUCCUGUAGGACAUCAGCACACCUUUGGGGGCAACACAGGACUGAGAUGUAGCCUGCACAGGGGAGGGUGUUUGCAGUCUGGAUAAGAACAUGGGUGUCACCUGUGAGGAUGGGAGACUUGUCACAAGGCACCGCCCUGCCACCGUGCUGCCUGGAACUCUGCCCUGUCCUGGACCCCUCGUCCCCGUACUGAGUGUCCCUGAGUGUCCCUAGCACACCCGGGAGAUGAAACAGCAUGAGUGGGUCACCCUCGUCUGGGCUGAGUCCAUGGUGUCCUGGGGAUGCUGGCCACUGGGGGUCCCUCGCUCCUGCACACCCUGGGCCACUGGCACCCGGAAAAGAUGCCUUCCUUCCUCCAGAGGCUGUCCUGGACACAGAAGCAGGUGAAUUGCUGGCCCACAAUGCAGCCUCAUAGAUCUGUGCCGAGCGGAUCCAAGGGACCAGGGUAGGUGCUGUUGCCUCCACUCACAGUGAGGAGAACAGAGCCCGGCUGUGAUGCUGCUCUGAAGAAGACCGUGCGGCUCGCGCUUAGUCGGGGAUGGGCAGGAAGCGGACGGCGGUCAGAGGUCCAAAGUGAGUUUCACUGGACAAACAUCAAGGUGUCAGUAGGUUGGGGCACUGCGACUCAAGCCUGGGUUCCUGGUACUCUGGAGGUGAAGGUGGACAAUCUGAUCCUGGGAGUUCAAGACCAACCUGGACAACACAGCCAGAGCCUGUCUGUAA
ensembl:lncRNA